CUGUGGGCCAAGCUGCCUGAAUACCAAUACUGCCAGUUUGCAACUGUGGCCUAAAUGAAUUUCUAGUAGUUUAUAUACCCAAUUCUCAAAAUGGCAGACUGCACUUUUAAAAAUAUAUAUGUUGUCUAUAUAUGUAUGUGUGUGUGUGUGUGUGUUGUGUGUGUGUGUGUGUGUGUUUUCUACACAGAUAUAUGAAGCUUGAGUCACUAUUUUGGGAUGUAUGGAUAAAAAAAACUUUAGGAUAAGGUAUUUUGCACCUUGAAUUAAUCAAUUUAGGAAGUUGCAUGGAUAUAUUCUUUAAAACAUCUGCUUAAGAGAUGAAAUUUUUAAAAUACCUCCUU